CGGCACAACGCGGCCCAGCCCGCCAACCCCCGCCCCCCCCACGGCCCGGCCCGAUCGCAGACAUCGCCCCCGCCCCCACCUCGCCCUAUUCCUCCACGGUGCUCUCCCGCCCCCCCCCCCCCCCGCGGGUUGUCAUUGGCCCGUCGGCCCGUCGCUCACGCGGCCCCUGGCCCGGGAUUGGCUGCUCCGCCGCCUCCCGCUCUCAGCCCCACGCCGCGCGGGGGAGGGGCGGCCGGUAGGGCUCGGCGGUGCGGCCGGUCUGCGCGCCCCUCCCCCGCGGCAGCGCCGUGUGUGCGCUCCGCCCCGCCCCGCCCCGCUCUGCUCCGUCCCGCCCCGCUCUGCUCCGUCCCGCUCCGCCGCCUCCCCCGGCCCCGGCCCCGCUCUGGCCCCGCCCCCGCCGUGACACCCCCCGGGCUGGGCGGCGGUGCGCGGCGCCGGCAGCCGCAGGGGCGCGGCGAGGCGGCCUCGGUCUCGUGCGCUUCUCCGUCGCGUCCUACCGCCACCCCCGGGCCAUCCCCAAGGCUUCGCCGCCGCCGCCGCCGCCGGGGAGGGGCGGGAGGCCGGAACGGAGGAGAAGGGGGAAGCGCCAGAGAGGAGGCGGGGAGAGAGGGCGGCGGCGGGCGGGCAGGUGAGGCGGGCGGCACUGCGCCCUACGGGGGGGAGGAGGGCGGCGGGGCGGCCCGGGCUGAGGCGGUGGGCGGGGGCCGCGGGAACGGAGCGGAGCGGGGGCUCCGUGCUGCAGGGCGGGGCUGUGUGCACCGGGGCUGCCCUCGGGCACAGCGCGGCGCCGGGAGGAGCCCUGCACCCGCACACACACACACAUACACACAGACACAGACACACAUAUACACAUACAGACACACACACAGACACACACGCGCGCGCACACGGCGCUGCAGCCGCCGCCCCCGUCUCGUCGAAAGCUGUUGGUUUUUUUUCUCUCCCUCCCUCCCUCCCUCCUUCCCUCUCUUCUCUCCCCGUUCAGCGGUCGGAACGCCCGAUUGGAUUUAA
rnacentral:lncRNA from 1 species